rnacentral:rRNA from 1 species
GGCCUACGGGACGCAGCAGUGGGGGGUAUUGCACAAUGGGGGGAACCCUGAUGCAGCGACGCCGCGUGGGUGAAGAAGCGCCUCGGCGCGUAAAGCCCUGUCAGCAGGGAAGAAAAUGACGGUACCUGAAGAAGAAGCCCCGGCUAACUACGUGCCAGCAGCCGCGGUAAUACGUAGGGGGCAAGCGUUAUCCGGAUUUACUGGGUGUAAAGGGAGCGUAGACGGCAGUGCAAGUCUGAAGUGAAAGGCAAGGGCUCAACCCUUGGACUGCUUUGGAAACUGUGCUGCUGGAGUGUCGGAGAGGG